UACAGAGGUCCCGAGCGUUGUUCGGAUUCAUUGGGCGUAAAGGGUGCGUAGGCGGCGGGGCAAGUCUGAUGUGAAAUCCCGGGGCUCAACCCCGGAACUGCAUUGGAUACUGCCUUGCUUGAGUACUGGAGAGGGAACUGGAAUUUACGGUGUAGCAGUGAAAUGCGUAGAUAUCGUAAGGAAGGCCAGUGGCGAAGGCGAGUUCCUGGACAGUUACUGACGCUGAGGCACGAAGGCCAGGGGAGCAAACGGG
rnacentral:rRNA from 1 species